CACGUAGGGUGCGAGCGUUUGUCCGGAAUUAUUGGGCGUAAAGAGCUCGUAGGCGGUGUGUCGCGUCGGCCGUGAAAACCUGCAGCUUAACUGUGGGCUUGCGGUCGAUACGGGCAUCACUGGAGUUCGGGCAGGGGAGACUGGAAUUCCUGGUGUAGCGGUGAAAUGCGCAGAUAUCAGGAGGAACACCGGUGGGCGAAGGCGGGUCUCUGGGCC
rnacentral:rRNA from 1 species